CACUUUCCCCCUCCCUCCAUCGCUCACUGCUUUUCCCCUCUCCCCUACUUCCUGUCCUAGUCGGGAAGGACUUGCCUGCAGAGCCGGGGCUGGGAGCUGCAGCUGCCCAAUGCAGUUAGAAGUGGCCAAAGCUGAGUAGUUGUUGGCGCAGUUGAUGACUUGGCACUUCCCCGCCUCCCCCGACUGCAGUAACCAGACUUUGGGUGUCCAGUCAGUAGAUCUGACCAGACACCAUCACGCUGUCUUUUCGACCAUUUGAAAACCAGACACACCUGGCCAACCUACUGGCAUUCAACUGGCCAAUUCUGGAAAUCUGUCUUUGCUGGUAGAGAAAGAUUGAAGAUGAAGAUGAAGCCUUUUGAAGUCUUGAAAAAACUGACUGCCAGCCUCCAUGAUUAAAAAUAGAUUGUCCUCAUCCUGAGUCCCAGGCCUCUUGUACUGUGAGUACUACAGAAGCAUAGCAAAGACAUGGAAGAAAUCUAAGAGCCUGAUUCUCUUUUCACUUACACAGGAAACCCAGGGGAAAGGACUAUAGAGGAGGAAGCACCUGCAAACAUUCUUCAGGGGAGAGGGAACGUGACCUUCAAGGAGCUAUCCUUUAUCCACCACCUCAGAAACGUUUGGGGGUGAUGGGGAGCAUCUCCAGGGCCAUAGAAAUUUCUCCACCCCUACUGAUCUUUUGUGCUGUACUGAGUCCCCCUGAACCUGCUGGGCAGCCCCCCCUCAAGUAAGGAAAGGCUUUCUUAGGCAAAGCAGUGAUAUUGCUGAAAAUCCAUUUUUUUCUUUUCUUAAAUAAAAUCCAGUAACGAUGCUUCAUGCUACUGCCUAAAAGGUUUGUGCAGUUCUCAAAGCUGGGGACUUUUUGCUUUUGUAAAUGCUGUGCUUGUGGGAAGUGCCAAAUUCACAAACUAAAGACUGUUGCCUCUGGUAAACCACAGAACAGGUAAUGCACAAUACAGGUAGAGACCAGCAGUGAAAUCUUCUCACGCUCCUGCACCAAUGUGCCUCAGCCCCAAGCUGGAGGAACUACUUUUAAUGCUGCAGGGGUAGUUCAGUCUCCAUUCAGUCAUUGGCUCUCCAGGCAAGUGUGCCAAUUAACGUUAAUUAUUGUGUUGAUUUCUGUGACUUGGGCAUCAUAGGCCAAAUUCAUAGCUGAUGUACCCCAAUCAAGUCAGUGAAUGAAUAUAGCCCCAUGUCUUUUAGGAACUGGACUGACGCCAACAACUUAUUUCACUUACUCCAUCAAACAGCCAUUAAGUUGUUUCAACCUCUACUGACGUGGUCUGAAUUCAAAACAAUAGCCUCGUGAUGAAAGGCUCAGCAUCCAAUUAUCAAUACUCUUUGCUGUAUAAUCUAAAUAAAAAUACUUAUGCUGGCCACUUUUCUCAAGUUACACUCACUACAAAGUGCAUGUGUACAUCCAUGCUUGUAAUGUAAAGAGCAAAACAAGCAGAGAAGUUGCUCGGAUUUAACGUAGCCAAUA